CAGCCCUAUCACAUUUAAUACAUCGGUUCCCGUACGGUCACCUAAGUUAAGCAACGUGGUGUUUGGCCAAUAGUUAGAUAGGUAACUUCUUGGGAAUACCAGGUGCAGCAA